CUGAAUUUUUACUCAGUUUUUGUUAAAAAAUAAAUUUCAAAUGAAUAAAACGAGCACAUGUAGGUUGGAUACUGCCAUUAAAGUACGACUACAAAUAAAAUAUUAAGCAAUUUGAGAAACCUUAUGUGGAACGUUAAUCAAAUGUUAAAUAAGCAAAAUUCAUCUAAAAACAACAAAUGGAUAUUAUUUAGACAUUAGUUUCAUUUAAUGUUAUUACAUUGUAUAAAUUAAACGUACUAUUCUUUAACUGUCUAAUCAAGCAUGGAUAGAUGAUCAAAGAUAUCAUUACUGUAUGUUUACUAUGAACACUUGAUCUAGGUGGAUUAAUUUAUUUGGCGUGCCUAAU